AUCAUGAUUUACAUUUGAGUGAGUGGCGAACUGGUGAGUAACACGUGGGAAACCUGCCCAGAAGCGGGGGAUAACACCUGGAAACAGAUGCUAAUACCGCAUAACAACUUGGACCGCAUGGUCCGAGUUUGAAAGAUGGCUUCGGCUAUCACUUCUGGAUGGUCCCGCGGCGUAUUAGCUAGAUGGUGGGGUAACGGCUCACCAUGGCAAUGAUACGUAGCCGACCUGAGAGGGUAAUCGGCCACAUUGGGACUGAGACACGGCCCAAACUCCUACGGGAGGCAGCAGUAGGGAAUCUUCCACAAUGGACGAAAGUCUGAUGGAGCAACGCCGCGUGAGUGAAGAAGGGUUUCGGCUCGUAAAACUCUGUUGUUAAAGAAGAACAUAUCUGAGAGUAACUGUUCAGGUAUUGACGGUAUUUAACCAGAAAGCCACGGCUAACUACGUGCCAGCAGCCGCGGUAAUACGUAGGUGGCAAGCGUUGUCCGGAUUUAUUGGGCGUAAAGCGAGCGCAGGCGGUUUUUUAAGUCUGAUGUGAAAGCCUUCGGCUCAACCGAAGAAGUGCAUCGGAAACUGGGAAACUUGAGUGCAGAAGAGGACAGUGGAACUCCAUGUGUAGCGGUGAAAUGCGUAGAUAUAUGGAAGAACACCAGUGGCGAAGGCGGCUGUCUGGUCUGUAACUGACGCUGAGGCUCGAAAGUAUGGGUAGCAAACAGGAUUAGAUACCCUGGUAGUCCAUACCGUAAACGAUGAAUGCUAAGUGUUGGAGGGUUUCCGCCCUUCAGUGCUGCAGCUAACGCAUUAAGCAUUCCGCCUGGGGAGUACGGCCGCAAGGCUGAAACUCAAAGGAAUUGACGGGGGCCCGCACAAGCGGUGGAGCAUGUGGUUUAAUUCGAAGCUACGCGAAGAACCUUACCAGGUCUUGACAUACUAUGCAAAUCUAAGAGAUUAGACGUUCCCUUCGGGGACAUGGAUACAGGUGGUGCAUGGUUGUCGUCAGCUCGUGUCGUGAGAUGUUGGGUUAAGUCCCGCAACGAGCGCAACCCUUAUUAUCAGUUGCCAGCAUUAAGUUGGGCACUCUGGUGAGACUGCCGGUGACAAACCGGAGGAAGGUGGGGAUGACGUCAAAUCAUCAUGCCCCUUAUGACCUGGGCUACACACGUGCUACAAUGGAUGGUACAACGAGUUGCGAACUCGCGAGAGUAAGCUAAUCUCUUAAAGCCAUUCUCAGUUCGGAUUGUAGGCUGCAACUCGCCUACAUGAAGUCGGAAUCGCUAGUAAUCGCGGAUCAGCAUGCCGCGGUGAAUACGUUCCCGGGCCUUGUACACACCGCCCGUCACACCAUGAGAGUUUGUAACACCCAAAGUCGGUGGGGUAACCUUUUAGGAACCAGCCGCCUAA
rnacentral:rRNA from 1 species